UACGUAGGUAGCGAGCGUUAUUCGGAAUUAUUGGGCGUAAAGGGCGUGUAGGUGGUUAGAUAAGUCAAAAGUUAAAUUAUUUGCGCUUAACGUGAAUACUGCUUUUGAAACUGUUUGACUAGAGUUUAGGAGAAGAAGGUGGAAUUAUCAGAGUAGCGGUGAAAUGCGUAGAUACUGAUAGGAAGGCCAAAGACGAAGGUAGCCUUCUGGACUAAUACUGACACUGAGGCGCGAAAGCUAGGGGAGCAAACAGG
rnacentral:rRNA from 1 species